rnacentral:rRNA from 1 species
UAGCAUAUAUUAAAGUUGUUGCAGUUAAAAAGCUCGUAGUUGGAUUUCUGGCAUGAUGCGCCUGGCCCGCCGUGAUUACGCGUGUGUGUGCUAGUGCGCGUCUGCCAUCCAUUGGCAGAAUAUGUCUACCCUUAAUUGGGCCGGAUAUGUGAUGUCAAUCUUUUACUUUGAAAAAAUUAGAGUGUUUAAAGCAGGCAUUUGCUAUGAAUACAUUAGCAUGGAAUAAUAAUCUAGGACUUCGGUUCUAUUUUGUUGGUUUCUAGAUCUGGAGUAAUGAUUGAUAGGGAUAGUUGGGGGUGCUAGUAUUAAGGGGCCAGAGGUGAAAUUCUUGGAUUCUCUUAAGACUAACUUAUGCGAAAGCAUUCACCAAGGAUGUCUUCUUUAAUCAAGAACGAAAGUUGGGGGAUCGAAGACGAUCAGAUACCGUCGUAGUCUCAACCAUAAACUAUGCCAACUAGGGAUGAGUGAACGUUGCAUUUUCGACUUCAUUCGCACCUUAUGAGAAAUCAAAGUCUUUGGGUUCCGGGGGGAGUAUGGUCGCAAGGCUGAA